rnacentral:misc_RNA from 1 species
GGGUGCUAGAGAUACCUAAUGUACUUGUAACAUUUUGCACCAUGAUUUCCAACAUCCCCUGGAUUGGUAAGCGAUUAGAAUUUUGAAAAGUGAAGAAAUGCCACCCUAAAGCUUAUGUCGAGUUUGUGACGCUUGAAGUUAAAUAGAUCACAGCAUUAUCAUGUUAAUCAGUAGUUCAUGACGGUAACGUUGGUGAUGAAGAUGGGAUUUUUGAACAAGUGGCCAUCUCCAUCUUACUUAAAACAUACAAUUAUAUUUUGGGUUUAGUUUGAUUAAACUGCAUUUAUUCCACUAUUGUCAUAUAUAGGGAUUUAAUUUACUAUUUUGUCAUUUG